rnacentral:rRNA from 1 species
UACGUAGGGCGCAAGCGUUAUCCGGAAUUAUUGGGCGUAAAGAGCGCGCAGGUGGUUGAUUAAGUCUGAUGUGAAAGCCCACGGCUUAACCGUGGAGGGUCAUUGGAAACUGGUCGACUUGAGUGCAGAAGAGGGAAGUGGAAUUCCAUGUGUAGCGGUGAAAUGCGUAGAGAUAUGGAGGAACACCAGUGGCGAAGGCGGCUUCCUGGUCUGUAACUGACACUGAGGCGCGAAAGCGUGGGGAGCAAACAGGAUUAGAUA